GAGGUGUGGAUAGGGGAGAAAUUCCAAUCGAACCCGGAGAUAGCUGGUUCUCCUCGAAAUAGCUUUAGGGCUAGCCCAUGACAAGUCUGCCGCAGGUAGAGCACUGAAUUUCCUAGGGGGCGUCAAAGCCUACCGAAGAAUAUCAAACUCCGAAUGGCGGCCAGAUGGUGUCAUGGAGUCAGACUGCACGAGAUAAGUUGGGUGGUCAAAAGGGAAAGAGCCCAGACCCACAGCUAAGGUCCCAAAGUGCGUGUUAAGUGGAAAAGGAUGUGGGAUUUCGAAGACAACUAGGAUGUUGGCUCAGAAGCAGCCACACAUUAAAAGAGUGCGUAAUAGCUCACUAGUCGAGAGGUCCUGCGCCGAAAAUGUCCGGGGCUGAAACACGACACCGAAGCUUGGGAAUCCUACGGGAUUGGUAGAGGAGCAUUGAAGACGGGACGAAGCGUAACCGUAAGGAUACGUGGACUGUCUUGAAGAGAGAAUGCCGGAAUGAGUAGCGAGAAUGAAGUGAGAAUCUUCAUGGCCGAAUAUCUAAGGUUUCCAGGGUAAAGCUGAUCUGCCCUGGGUAAGUCGGGACCUAAGGCGAGGUCGAAAGACGUAGCCGAUGGACAACAGGUUGAAAUUCCUGUACUGCAUUAAAUCAGAACUGUGGGGACACAGAAGGAAGGCAUGAGCCGGAAAAGGAAAAUCCGGUGCAAGCAUGGGAGGGGUAUGACAGGCAAAUCCGUCAUGCAACCCGAGAAUGUGACGCGGAGCGAACAAAAGUAGCGAAGCAUGCUUACCGGCUGUCGAGAAAAGCCGCUAUUGCGUUUAAUGCACCCGUACCGUAAACCGACACAGGUGGAUGAGGAGAGAAUCCUAAGGCCGGCGGGAGAAGCAUUGUUAAGGAACUCGGCAAAAUGACCCCGUAACUUCGGGAGAAGGGGUGCUCUUAGAAAUAAGAGCCGCAGAGAAUUGGCCCAAGCAACUGUUUAGCAAAAACACAGGUCUAUGCAAAACCGAAAGGUGAGGUAUAUGGGCUGACGCCUGCCCGGUGCUGGAAGGUUAAGAGGAGAGGUUAGAGCAAUCGAAGCUUUGAAUUGAAGCCCCAGUAAACGGCGGCCGUAACUAUAACGGUCCUAAGGUAGCGAAAUUCCUUGUCGGGUAAGUUCCGACCCGC
rnacentral:rRNA from 1 species